rnacentral:rRNA from 1 species
CCAAACCCCUGUGAACAUACCACUUGUUGCCUCGGCGGAUCAGCCCGCUCCCGGUAAAACGGGACGGCCCGCCAGAGGACCCCUAAACUCUGUUUCUAUAUGUAACUUCUGAGUAAAACCAUAAAUAAAUCAAAACUUUCAACAACGGAUCUCUUGGUUCUGGCAUCGAUGAAGAACGCAGCAAAAUGCGAUAAGUAAUGUGAAUUGCAGAAUUCAGUGAAUCAUCGAAUCUUUGAACGCACAUUGCGCCCGCCAGUAUUCUGGCGGGCAUGCCUGUUCGAGCGUCAUUUCAACCCUCAAGCACAGCUUGGUGUUGGGACUCGCGUUAAUUCGCGUUCCUCAAAUUGAUUGGCGGUCACGUCGAGCUUCCAUAGCGUAGUAGUAAAACCCUCGUUACUGGUAAUCGUCGCGGCCACGCCGUUAAACCCCAACUUCUGAAUGUUGACCUCGGAUCAGGUAGGAAU